rnacentral:lncRNA from 1 species
CAUCUAGAGGGGAAAAAAUUGGAAGAUAGAGUAGAAAGUUGAAAACAAUAUUGAAAUUAGGAAAGGGUAUGCAGUUAUUGAUAAUGGUAUUUUGUAUGAUUAUACAAGUAGAUGACUGAAUAAGGGUGGAAUGAAAGUCAACAGAGAAGAGGAAGUCAAGGAACCAUGAGAUGAGCCAGGAUAUAGGAAGGAUCAAACACACUGAUAUUGAAAUUAUGAGCUAUGAUCAGAUUAGGAAGAGGUGCCAAUGAGUAAAUCUUCAAGAAAUAUUAAGUGUGACAGGGGAUUAUAGCUGCCAUUGCUUGGCUUAGACCUCAUUUUGCAUGUACUUCCACAUGGGCUUUUCAUGAUUUGAUGUUUCCUAUGUUUUUACAGUGGACCCUAUACCCUAACCAGAGUCCUCAGUCCUUCAUAAGACUUUCGUAAUUUUGCCCUUUUAUAGAUCCUAUUUCUUGUUUGAAAUGCUUGUAGCUACCUUCUAUAAGAGCACUCUUCCCUAGUAGAUCAUUAUUUCCCGGUUAUAGGUUAUAGUAUUGCUUACAUUAUUUUGAAACUACAAACUUAUGUUCACUGUUGCCCCUCCAGUUGUUUUUAAACCAGGUCAACAGUUCCCUCAUGUUGAGAACCUUUUCUGUCUUUUGCCCGUAUAUAACACUG